AAGAAUUCACUUGUCUCUUUCUCUCUCCUCUAUCUAUAUUAAAAAAAGUACACCAAAAAUAAAAAAAUCCAGUAAAUGUUUUUCCAAGACCUUUUCUUUCUCCUCGCUAUCAAUCUCUAGAACAGUCGAGAUUUGCUCUCUCUCUGCAUCUAAAUUGGGGUUUUUGUUUCAGUUGGGGUAAAGUUGGGAAAGUAAUUUUUAUUCCUCACUAAAGCAAAACUCAAUCUUGUGCAUCCAGAACAUUAUAUCUUCUCUCUCAUUUCUCAUCUCUCAUCUUGUUUAUUUCUUUGAUUUGACCAUGGUUUUGUGCAUCGUUUGAGAUUUAGUGGUGAUGGUUGGGUGCGGUGGUGGGUGGAUGGGUAGAGGUGGUGGUACAUAUUCGUGACAGUGGUGGAUCUAAUAAUAUGGUGAUAGAUCUGGUAUGGUGGGAUCAUGGUGGUGUAAUAUGGCAGUGGUGAUGGUUGUAGAUGGUGGUAGAGUAGUAGAUCUGCUGGUGUUAGGUGGUGGGUAGCGACGGAGAUAGAGUUGUAGGCUCAAUCUUAUGGAAGCGGCGAAGGCGGCGAAGAAUUUUGCAGCAGUGGACUGUAGGUGGAAAUUGUGGAGGCGGUGGUUAUGGAGGAGGUCGCCGGGAAGGUGGAGGUGACGGCAGUAGUUAUGGCGGUGGCUAAAGGGAAGGCGUAGUAUAACGCCGAUUAAGAACAAGAAUGAAAAUUAAAAAUUGGAAACAACUUUUUUGUGGAUCUUAAGAUGCAUAUCAAAUUGAAGGAUUUGAUCUAUGCCAAUGAAAAAGCUGCUUUCUUAUGGUUGCCAAUGAAUAACUGAAGGGAAUUUAGCUUUUGAUAUAUUUUUUUUAUUAGUUUUAGAAUAUGGCGUACAACUGCGGAGACGGAAAGGAGGAGGCAUCGGACCUUGUUGUACGACUGUAGCUUUUGGGGAUCUUCACUGAAUGAAUUAAUUUGCUGCAAAAUUUUGUUGAUUUUGUCGAUUUCAAUACUAAUAAGUACUCCAUACAUCCGUACGUUUUAGAAUGUUCAGAAAAAUUAAGAAAAUAAUUAUAUAACUUUAAAUAUAAUAUAAAUUGUCUAUAAUACCUUUAAAUUUUUAUAAUUAUCAUACUUAUUUCAUAAUCUUUCAUAG
rnacentral:lncRNA from 1 species